rnacentral:misc_RNA from 1 species
GAACGCACAUUGCGCCCCUUGGUAUUCCAUGGGGCAUGCCUGUUCGAGCAUCAUUUGUACCUUCAAGCUCUGCUUGGUGUUGGGUGUUUGUCUCGCCUCUGCGCGCAGACUCGCCUCAAAACGAUUGGCAGCCGGCGUAUUGAUUUCGGAGCGCAGUACAUCUCGCGCUUUGCAACCAUAACGACGACGUCCAAAAAGUACAUUUUUACACUCUUGACCUCGGAUCAGGUAGGGAUACCCGCUGAACUUAAG